UUUUAUCAGAAAAAAAUGGACUUUAAAACAAAGACUGUAAUAAGAGACAAAGAUGGCAUUAUGAAAUGAUAAAGGGGUCAAUCCUACAGUAGGAUAUGACAUUUAUAAAUACCUAUUCACCCACCA